UUCUAUUUUAUUCUAUAUUGAAUAAGCAGGAUUCUAUAUUAGCUGCUCUGUGACAAAAUACAGAUAUUUCUAUUUAGGAUUAUGCCAUUAAACAGAUAUACAAAACAAUGUAUACAUAUUAUUUAUAUAUUCUAGUACAAUAACUAUGUACAUGAUCAUACACAAAACUCAUAUAAUUUGAAAAGUUUAAGGAUGUUCGCUGCUCAGUUUCAAAAUAAAUAACUUUUCAUAAAACUAGUAUGCAUUGAUAGGGAAUAAAUUGAGGAAUCAAAAAAGCAAAAAAAAUAUAGGGGAUAAUGUGCUUGUUUUCGAGAUAUUAGCCAUUGGAAUUUUGGCGGGAAAAUGUUCUCUCUUGACUUUUCAUAGCUUUAUCAUUGACCAGUUAAAGUUCUCAAAUACUAUUAAAAAAUAAAUAAAAUUUUAUAAGACUUUUACAAAUGACUUAUAAUUAUACAUAUAAAAGAUUUAUAAAAAGAAAAAUGGGGGUUCAUGGGGAAUUUUUCUAUGGCAUUCAAAUGGAUAAAACCAGAGGAUUCCGAAAAUCUGACAAAAAUUCCAAAACAUGACAAGCAGACAUCCUUAAGUGCAUUUUAUUAAGCUUCAGGAAUAUGUUUUUCAACUGAGAAUAGUGAAAGAAGUAAAGUUUUUUUCAAAUUAAAAAAUCAAAAUCAAAAGAGAAAAUGUGUAUGAACCUUGUUAUCUUUCUUUUUAUCUUUUAAAAAACAAAUUACAUACUUUUUUUAAGUUGGCAGUUCCUAAUAUUAAACAGAGUUUAAUUUUUGAGGUUGUUUGAGUAAAAACAUUUUAAAUGGAACUAUUAAUAUUCAAUGUAACCUCAUAUGAGUAUUCUUAUCUCUCUACAGAUCUUAUAAUAUGCUAAAUAAGCUGAAAUUAGCAAAAAAUAUUAUUUAAUGGACAGUUAUCCUAGCAUACUACUAAAUAAAAGAAAAUAAAUAUUGUAAAAAUAAAAAAAAAAUGGUAUUAAAAAUAGUCGAAUAUUAAACCAGCCCACGAUAUAUAAAAUAUAAAAAUAAAUAUUUAUAGUCCAAUUUUUUCAAGAUUUGUGUGGAACAGUAUUUCUGUUUAACUUGCAAUUUUUAAACCUGUUUUUUGUUUAAAUAUACAUACAUUCAAUUAUUUCUUAGUCGCACUAUUACCAAACAAAAAUUGUCCCUCUUUUCUUUUUUAUAACCCCAAAAAAAGCUUAAGAUGAAAUAAUUGCAUGAUUAAAGUUAAAGCUUUCCAAAUUAAUGCUAAACAUAAAAUAUUAUAAACAAACAAAAACAUUAAAAAAAAGUACCAAUAACUACUGAAAAUGAAAUGUUAUCACAAAAAUUGUAUGACUAAACUAGGGAUAUGUAUUCAUGUAAUUAAACACUGCAAUUCAUGAAAAUCUUUAUUCUCAAGUUACCAGUUUAAGUGAAACUGUUUGCAAAAAGAUUCUGUUCAACUUAGCUUUCCACUAUAGGUUAUUAGGAUAUGAUAUAUCAAAAUUCUAUUUUAAGCAUUUUAACUUGACAAUCAGUGCAGCCAUGUGCAAUUUUUUUUAUUUGUUAACUAAUUUUUUUUAAACAACAUUUAACAUUAUUUGAAAAAUUAUAAAUAACAAAGUAUAGACACUAAAUAUUUGUACACUCAAAUAUUGUUUUAUUAAUAAAAUACUUAGCAUUUAUCAUCAUUAGAGUUGUAACUAAUUACCCAAAUACUAAAAUUAAAGAUUUUUGUUUUAUUUAAAUUAGAAGAUAAGAAAAAAAAAGAGGCUACACUGAAAAAAAAUACAGAACAGAAAAUUAAACUAUUUGAAAAACUAUAUCAGCCAGUAAAAAACACAUUACACUAAUGAUUUAUACAACAUAAUCAUAUCUAUAAACAUAUGAAACAUUUAUAAAAUGUGUAAUAACAACAUAUGAGAUGAUAAACAAAUUUAAUAAAACAUUAAAAUUAUAUCUUUAGCAAAACCCUGAAUGAAACAAUGGAAUAAUCACACCAACAACAAAAUUAGAUAUGAAAUAGGACAAAAGCAGAAAUAUGAUGUCAAAGGCAAAGUUUACACAAUAGUUUGUGCAAAAAUAAUUCAUGCAAGAAUUUUUAUUUUAGUUUUAUUAUAAACUGUAUUUAAUUUUAAAAGUUUUAACCUUUUGAAAAACUGUACAUGGCCUGGAAAGAUAUUUGGAUAUUUAUUAAAGGUUUGUAAUUGUGUAUAAUAUGAAUUUCAAAACUUAUUGUUAGUUGACAAUAUUAUUUGCAACAUUUUUACUUCUUCCCAAAGAAAAAAAAUCAUGAAAGUCUCCACUGGUGUCUCAAAAAUAUAUACAUGAUAAAUACAUUACAUUCAAAAUGAAACACAUGACAUUCAUUGUAUUUUUACUUUGUGAUUUAUAUACCGAAACCUGUUUAGUGCCACAUAUUUACAGAAAGUAAAAUUGAAACCCAAAUACAAGGAAAACUAUAAAAAAAAAAUUGAAAGGUCUUUAAAAUCAAUGACAAGCAAUAUUUUAAAUUCUUUAUUUUAAUAUAUAUACUAAUCAAGUGAAUCAAAUUCAAAGUAAAUAAUACAUGAAAAAAUCCCUAUGGCAUUCUGUAGUAACCUUAAUGACCACUAUCAGCCCUCUAACUUAUUUUAGUAACACGGUUAAGAUGGUUAAUAUAAGAAUUUUUUUAAACUAUCCACUUAUUUCCCUUUUAAGAGCUUUUUAUUUCAAUUCAUUUAAAAAAAACAGUAUCAAUUAAAAAAAAAACCUGUUUGAGAGCCAAAUCCCAAAAUUUUAUUUCUUAGUUAUUUAAACAUUUAAAUCUUCUUUCCUUAAAUUCGUUUAAUCUAAGCCCUUUGAGAUUUUUACUUUUUUCUCAGAUUCUACAUAUUUUGUUGACCAAUAAACAAACUGUUAUAAUUAUCCUCUUUCUGACAAGAUAAAAUUCUAAAAAAGCUAGAAAUCACCCAUAUCUAUCAAUGGUUUUACCACAAUGAUGUCAUCAAGGAUUAGACAAUGUUUUAUCAUAAGAAAUGAUGGGAGAAAUGUGAUCGCUGCAUUAAGUAUACAAACUAUGCGUUAUCUGUGACAUGAAUACACCCAUACUGCAGUAAUAAAUUAACAUCAAAUAUACAUAUAAUGAUACACAGUAUAUAAAAACUAUCCAUUAUAACACUAAACAAUAUUAAUUAGUAUAUUUUUUUGUCUUCUAAAAUCAUAUCUUACUUUUACACUGCAUUUAAAAAUACCACUGAAAGAAAAUCUGCCUUAGCAUUAUUUGACUUGUUUUUUGGAGGCAAGAGUUAAUAAUUUUUCCAAUUUCUAUAAUGGACUGUCAGGUGCUUUAUGAAGGUAGAUAUAGCCUAGAUAAUGAAAUGUCAAAAACACCUCUCUAAGCGUAAUGUCCUAAUACCAUCAAAUGAGCCUCAGUAUAUAUAUGUUAUCAUAAGUUGUAAAAUGAUGUAAAUUUGAGCUUCUGUUAGCUUCAAAUUGAGAAAUAUGUUCAAAAAACAAGAUUACCAAUUUUGUCAUGUGGGAUCACCUAUUCUCAACCUCUUAUCAAACUAAAUUUUAUGUAGCUCAACAUACAAUGUCAGUCAAAUAGACAUUUUUUUUAUCAAUUUGUAGGAGUAGUCAAUGGUAUUUUUAAGCAUGAAGUAUUUCCCGGUUUCAAUCUUGAGGUUCAUUAUGCAUUAUUUUCUUGAAAUUAUAUCUUAUUGUUUUGUAAUUGUAAUAAAUUAUGUAAAUGCUUUCUAAAAUGUGAUUUAUUUCAAAAUACUUUUUUAUUGACUGAAGUCAAAAAAUUCUAUAUCAUUUAAUCUGCAACCAAAAAU
rnacentral:lncRNA from 1 species